rnacentral:rRNA from 1 species
AACGAACGCUGGCGGCAUGCCUAACACAUGCAAGUCGAACGAGACCUUCGGGUCUAGUGGCGCACGGGUGCGUAACGCGUGGGAACCUGCCCUUAGGUUCGGAAUAACUCCCCGAAAGGGGUGCUAAUAACGGAUAAUGUCUUCGGACCAAAGAUUUAUCGCCUUUGGAUGGGCCCGCGUUGUAUUAGCUAGUUGGUAGGGUAAAAGCCUACCAAGGCGACGAUCCAUAGCUGGUCUGAGAGGAUGAUCAGCCACACUGGGACUGGGACACGGCCCAGACUCCUACGGGAGGCAGCAAUGGGGAAUAUUGGACAAUGGGCGGAAGCCUGAUCCAGCAAUGCCGCGUGAGUGAUGAAGGCCUUAAGGUUGUAAAGCUCUUUUACCCGGGAUGAUAAUGACGGUACCGGGAGAAUAAGCACCGGCUAACUCCGUG